rnacentral:rRNA from 1 species
CCNGUGGCGAAAGCGGUUCUCUGGUCUGUCACUGACGCUGAGGCUNGAAAGCGUGGGUAGCGAACAGGAUUAGAUACCCUGGUAGUNCACGCCGUAAACGAUGAGUGCUAGGUGUUAGGCCCUUUCCGGGGCUUAGUGCCGGAGCUAACGCAAUAAGCACUCCGCCUGGGGAGUACGACCGCAAGGUUGAAACUCAAAGGAAUUGACGGGGGCCCGCACAAGCGGUGGAGCAUGUGGUUUAAUUCGAAGCAACGCGAAGAACCUUACCAGGUCUUGACAUCCCGAUGCUAUUCUUAGAGAUAGGAAGUUACUUCGGUACAUCGGAGACAGGUGGUGCAUGGUUGUCGUCAGCUCGUGUCGUGAGAUGUUGGGUUAAGUCCCGCAACGAGCGCAACCCUUAUUGUUAGUUGCCAUCAUUAAGUUGGGCACUCUAGCGAGACUGCCGGUAAUAAACCGGAGGAAGGUGGGGAUGACGUCAAAUCAUCAUGCCCCUUAUGACCUGGGCUACACACGUGCUACAAUGGUCGGUACAACGAGUUGCGAGCCGGUGACGGCAAGCUAAUCUCUGAAAGCCGAUCUCAGUUCGGAUUGGAGGCUGCAACUCGCCUCCAUGAAGUCGGAAUCGCUAGUAAUCGCGGAUCAGCACGCCGCGGUGAAUACGUUCCCGGGCCUUGUACACACCGCCCGUCACACCACGAGAGUUUGUAACACCCGAAGUCGGUGAGGUAACCUUUUAGGGGCCAGCCGC